rnacentral:sRNA from 1 species
UCAUUUCAGCAACUUGAAUGGUAUGUAC